rnacentral:rRNA from 1 species
GAUGAACGCUGGCGGCGUGCCUAAUACAUGCAAGUCGAGCGAACAGACGAGGAGCUUGCUCCUCUGACGUUAUCGGCGGACGGGUGAGUAACACGUGGAUAACCUACCUAUAAGACUGGGAUAACUUCGGGAAACCGGAGCUAAUACCGUAUAAUAUAUUGAACCGCAUGGUUCAAUAGUGAAAGACGGUUUUGCUAUCACCUAUAGAUGGAUCCGCGCCGCAUUAGCUAGUUGGUAUGGUAACGGCUUACCAAGGCGACGAUGAGUAGCCGACCUGAGAGGGUGAUCGCCAACACUGGAACUGAGACACGGUCCAGACUCCUACGGGAGGAAGCAGUAGGGAAUCUUCCGCAAUGGGCGAAAGCCUGACGGAGCAACGCCGCGUGAGGGAUGAAGGUCUUCGGAUCGUAAAACUCUGUUAUUAGGGAAGAACAAAUGUGUAAGUAACUAUGCACGUCUUGACGGUACCUAAUCAGAAAGCCACGGCUAACUACGUG